AUUGAACGCUGGCGGCAUGCCUUACACAUGCAAGUCGAACGGCAGCACGGGUGCUUGCACCUGGUGGCGAGUGGCGAACGGGUGAGUAAUACAUCGGAACAUGUCCUGUAGUGGGGGAUAGCCCGGCGAAAGCCGGAUUAAUACCGCAUACGAUCUACGGAUGAAAGCGGGGGACCUUCGGGCCUCGCGCUAUAGGGUUGGCCGAUGGCUGAUUAGCUAGUUGGUGGGGUAAAGGCCUACCAAGGCGACGAUCAGUAGCUGGGCUGAGAGGACGACCAGCCACACUGGGACUGAGACACGGCCCAGCCUCCUACGGGAGGCAGCAGUGGGGAAUUUUGGCCAAUGGGCGAAAGCCUGAUCCAGCAAUGCCGCGUGUGUGAAGAAGGCCUUCGGGUUGUAAAGCACUUUUGUCCGGAAAGAAAUCCUUGGCCCUAAUACGGUCGGGGGAUGACGGUACCGGAAGAAUAAGCACCGGCUAACUACGUG
rnacentral:rRNA from 1 species